rnacentral:pre_miRNA from 9 species
UACUUUCAACCCUUGGGGCCGGCCCUGUGGCCGAGUGGUUAAGUUCACGUGCUCGACUUCAGGGGUCCAGGGUUU